UAGUGUGUGUGUGUGUGUGUGUGUGUGUAUAUGUAUAUAUAUAUAGUUUUGUACACUGACUGCUCAAGUGUCAAGCAGGUACCUCGCUCUUCAAAUUGCAU